AUGUGCCACAGUAUGAUGAAAUGGAGAUAACAAAUAUCAUAGGAAGAUUUCUCAAGAUGAAGUCAAUAACCUACUCUGAAGGUUAGAACAUCCAUAAAAAUAAGAAGAAUUGAUUUAACUACUUGUUCGCCAGCUGGAAGCUUUCUGGAGAGCUUUUAACUGAUUAAAGGAUUCUAUUUCACUCUGAGAAAAUAGGACAUUGCGAAGAAGGAAACAGAAAAAAUAAUGUCAGGAAAAAUGGGGAUAUCGUCAAUAGAAAAUAAACACAAGUGUUACAACAAGUGUAAAAAUACCAUCUCGUUCGCUUUGACGUUAGAGUUGAAGACAUCACAGCGCCAAUUUGAUGCCGCAUGCUCCUUAUGCCGUUUAGUGUAUUGGUCUUGGGAGUAAUGAAGAGGUGGAUUUGAAGAGAUAUUAAAUCAUCACUGAUGACGAAUCGCUAGUUAUUGACACGCAUCCGACAGACAUGGGGACGAUAAACUAAAAGAUAAACAUCAAAACGGAACACAAAAUCGAUUAAAACAUGAGAGUUUGGGAUUAUUACGUCUCAUGUCGUAACUACACGUAUAUUUUCAACAACUUCAAUACCAAGUCCUAUAUUUCAGUUAGCUACAGCUGAGGUUAAGAUAUCCAAUCCGGAGCUUAUAACUGUUCUCGAUUAGGUGAUUUUUUGUGAGUCCGUCCUCUCUUGAGAUCUGAGAUGGAAGUAUCAGAAAACGGGGAUUACAUGUAUUAGUCGAUACAUAACUCCAUGACCAGACAGUCCACGCAUGACAGCCUAAAUCAGAAAGGUUCCUAAACUGCAAUUUUGGCGAAUUGCCUUGAGUGGAUACCCAAUGAAUGGGUUCAAGGAGAUCAUUUAUGACUAAUGAUGAAAUAGUGUCAUUCAGUUAAUGUCGUAGUGGACUACGGUUGACCGAAGAUCCUACAGUAUCGAGAUGUAGAAAAAACCCCAAUGAUGUGUUCUUAGAGAACAGGGGCAUCAGGAGAGCACCAUAGUCGCUGCUUGAUGACCAGACUGUGGUGUGCAGAUUUAAGUAUAUUAACGCCGUUGUCAUUAUAACUAAGACAUAUAGAACAUUCUCGAUGAGAUGUUGCGGUAUACUUCAGAUUGUCGACGCUCAAAUGUGGGACUGUGUCUGUGAAAUCUCAACAUUAUCUGCAUUGUCACUACUGAUAUUCUCAAACGUAUAUUCUGAAGAGGAGCUUCAUCAUAUUGGGAGUAGUCAUCGUUUGUAUCCGGUCUUAGUCAUUUUUAGAUGCUGUGUAUAACACCUUUUGCAAAUCUUGCUAUCGGUUAUCACUAAUAACCCGUCUUCUCUGAGCUAAGAUUUUAGCCACCUACCAUACUGUGAAUCAAGACUCCUCGGCAAUUUUAGGGUUUCGUCAUUAUCUUUGAACCUUGUAAGGCAACUUGAAAUGAUGCGCUUGUCAUUCAUUUCAUGCAAUUACUUAAUUGCUCUGAAUAAUGAUACAAGAUUUUACUUGAUGAUAUCACUCAUUUGACUGAUAUAUAUUUUUAUACAUCUCACAACUGAAUGUAGAACUGCAUAAUUCAUUUACAUACUAUAAUGUACAGGAAUUAGAUGAAACAAGUCCACUACACUCUGUUGAUGAUCAGGCAUGUCCUGAAGAUAACUAUUUUGUCCUUUCAACAACUACCUAUAGACUCGAUAUACAUAUGUAG